rnacentral:rRNA from 1 species
UCAAGCUACAAAGAGCACAAGGGGAAUGCCUUGGCACCGAGAGCCGAAGAAGGACGUGACUAACUGCGAUAAGCUGCGGGGAGCCGUAAGUAGGCUUUGAUCCGCAGAUUUCCGAAUGGAGCAAUCCGGCAAGAGGAAAGUCUUGUCAUCAUAUACUGAAUACAUAGGUAUAUGAGGGGAACCGCCUGAACUGAAACAUCUAAGUAGGGCGAGGAAGAGAAAUCAACUGAGAUUCCGUAAGUAGUGGCGAGCGAACGCGGAAGAGGCCAAACCGAGAGUAGUAAUACUUUCGGGGUUCGGACAGAAUACGGCAUUGUAAAGGUUUAGUGGAAUGGAAUGGGAAGUCCAACCGAAGAAGGUGAGAGUCCUGUACACGAAAAGCCUGAACAGCCAUCUGUAUCCAGAGUACCGCCGGACACGUGAAACCCGGUGGGAAUAUGGGGGGACCAUCCUCCAAGCCUAAAUACUACUCGGUGACCGAUAGUGAAGAAGUACUGUGAAGGAAAGGUGAAAAGUACCCCUGACGGGGAGUGAAAAAGAACCUGAAACCUUGUGUUUACAAGCACCGAAAGCUCAUCAAAGAGCGAUCGGGUACCUUUUGUAGAAUGGUCCGGCGAGUGAAUGUAACCGGCGAGGUUAAGCACUUAAGGUGUGAAGCCGCAGCGAGAGCAAGUCUGAAUAGGGCGUAUGAAGUCGGUUGUAUUCGACCCGAAACCGGGUGACCUACCCAUGGUCAGGUUGAAGUAAAGGUAAAACUUUAUGGAGGACCGAACCGACUCCCGUUGAAAUGGUAGCGGAUGAACUGUGGGUAGCGGAGAAAUUCCAAUCGAACCCGGAGAUAGCUGGUUCUCUCCGAAAUAGCUUUAGGGCUAGCCUUGAAAUAGAUUACCGGAGGUAAAGCACUGAAUUGGCUAGGGGCCGAGAGGUUACUGAACCUUAUCAAACUAAGAAUGCCGGAUAAUCGUUUUUCAGGAGUCAGACAGUGGGAGAUAAGUUUCAUUGUCAAAAGGGAAACAGCCCAGACCCACAGCUAAGGUCCCCAAGUAUAGUUAAGUGGAAAAGGAUGUGGAAUUGCACAGACAACCAGGAUGUUGGCUUAGAAGCAGCCACUCAUUAAAAGAGUGCGUAAUAGCUCACUGGUCGAGUGACUCUGCGCCGAAAAUUCAACGGGGCUAAAAUUCAUACCGAAGCUUGGGCUUGACAGCAAUGUCAGGGGUAGGGGAGCGUCGUAUACGAGGUGAAGUCAUAGCGGAAGCGGCGGUGGAUUGUAUACGAGUGAGAAUGCCGGAAUGAGUAGCGAGAAUUAUGUGAGAAUCAUAAUGGCCGAAAGUCUAAGGUUUCCUGAGGAAGGUUCGUCCUCUCAGGGUUAGCCGGGAGCUAAGGUGAGGCGGAAACGCGUAGCCGAUGCACAUACGGUAGAAAUUCCGUAGCCUCCGAAGAUUUAAGCACAGGGACACUUUUGAAGGGCUGAGCCGGGCGUUGGUUGCCCCGGUCGAAAGGGACACGAUUGAGUGGAAGUCAGUUUGGAAAGAGGCGAGAAAAGCUGUGUGUAUAUGGAAGGAGCCCGUACCGCAAACCGACACAGGUAGACAGGAAGAAGAUUCUAAGGCCAGCGGGAGAAGGGUUGUUAAGGAACUCGGCAAGUUGACCCCGUAACUUCGGGAGAAGGGGUGCUUACGAAGGUAAGCCGCAGAGAAUAGGCCCAAGCGACUGUUUAGCAAAAACACAGCUCUAUGCUAAAUCGAAAGAUGACGUAUAUGGGGUGACACCUGCCCGGUGCUGGAAGGUUAAGAGGAGAUGUGAGAGCAUUGAAUUGAAGCCCCAGUAAACGGCGGCCGUAACUAUAACGGUCCUAAGGUAGCGAAAUUCCUUGUCAGGUAAGUUCUGACCCGCACGAAUGGCGUAAUGAUCUGGG